rnacentral:rRNA from 1 species
GAGUAACGCGUGAGGAACCUGCCUUGAAGAGGGGGACAACAGUUGGAAACGACUGCUAAUACCGCAUGACGCAUAGGGGUCGCAUGAUCUUUAUGCCAAAGAUUUAUCGCUUCAAGAUGGCCUCGCGUCUGAUUAGCUGGUUGGCGGGGUAACGGCCCACCAAGGCGACGAUCAGUAGCCGGACUGAGAGGUUGAACGGCCACAUUGGGACUGAGAUACGGCCCAGACUCCUACGGGAGGCAGCAGUGGGGAAUAUUGGGCAAUGGGCGCAAGCCUGACCCAGCAACGCCGCGUGAAGGAAGAAGGCUUUCGGGUUGUAAACUUCUUUUAAGAGGGAAGAGCAGAAGACGGUACCUCUAGAAUAAGCCACGGCUAACUACGUGCCAGCAGCCGCGGUAAUACGUAGGUGGCAAGCGUUGUCCGGAUUUACUGGGUGUAAAGGGCGUGCAGCCGGGUCUGCAAGUCAGAUGUGAAAUCCAUGGGCUCAACCCAUGAACUGCAUUUGAAACUGUAGAUCUUGAGUGUCGGAGGGGCAAUCGGAAUUCCUAGUGUAGCGGUGAAAUGCGUAGAUAUUAGGAGGAACACCAGUGGCGAAGGCGGAUUGCUGGACGAUAACUGACGGUGAGGCGCGAAAGUGUGGGGAGCAAACAGGAUUAGAUACCCUGGUAGUCCACACUGUAAACGAUGAAUACUAGGUGUGCGGGGACUGACCCCCUGCGUGCCGCAGUAAACACAAUAAGUAUUCCACCUGGGGAGUA